rnacentral:rRNA from 1 species
CUUUGUGUAUCUAAAAUCGUUGCUUUGGCGGGCCUGCGGUGUAAUGCCGCUGCCGGCUCACGCUGGUUAGCGCCCGCCAGAGAACCGUUAAACUCUUGUUUAUUUUAG